GAUGAAGAACGUAGCGAAAUGCGAUAAGUAAUGUGAAUUGCAGAAUUCAGUGAAUCAUCGAAUCUUUGAACGCACAUUGCGCCCGCCAGUAUUCUGGCGGGCAUGCCUGUUCGAGCGUCAUUUCAACCAUCAAGCCCCCGGCUUGUGUUGGGGACCUGCGGCUGCCGCAGGCCCUGAAAACCAGUGGCGGGCUCGCUAGUCACUCCGAGCGUAGUAAUACAUCUCGCUCAGGGCGUGCUGCGGGUUCCGGCCGUUAAAAAGCCUUAUUUACCCAAGUUUGAUCUCGGAUCAGGUAGGAAGACCCGCUGAACUUAAGCAUAUCAAUAAGCGGAGGA
rnacentral:misc_RNA from 1 species